rnacentral:tRNA from 1 species
GGGGUUGUGGCUCAGUGGCAGAGCAUUUGCCUAGCAUGCAUGAGGCACUGGGUUUGAUCCUCAGCACCACA